rnacentral:rRNA from 1 species
GUCUAUGGCCAUACCACCCUGAAUGCACCAGAUCUCGUCUGUUCUCGGAAGCUAAGCAGUGUUGGGCAUGGGUAGUAGCAGAGAGGGAGAUACUGAGAGAGGCUAUGCAUGUGCAGGGA